AUUGAACGCUGGCGGCAGGCCUAACACAUGCAAGUCGAACGAGUGGCGGACGGGUGAGUAAUGUCUGGGAAACUGCCUGAUGGAUGGGGAUAACGACUGGAAAAGGUAGCUAAUACCGCAUACCAUCAGAGGUGCCCAGAUGGGAUUAGCUAGUUGGUGGGGUAAAGGCCUAACAAGGCGACGAUCAGUAGCGGGUCUGAGAGGACGAAACGCCACACUGGUACUGAGACACGGCCCAGACUCCUACGGGAGGCAGCAGUGGGGAAUUUUGGACAAUGGGGGCAACCCUGAUCAAGCCAUGCCGCGUGUAUGAAGAAGGCCGUCGGGUUGUAAAGUACUUUUGUUAGGGAAGCGGUACCUAAAGAAUAAGCACCGGCUAACUACGUGCCAGCAGCCGCGGUAAUAC
rnacentral:rRNA from 1 species